ensembl:lncRNA
ACAUCAGUGAUACACACAUUUUGCUUGUAAAGAAUGAAGCUGUUACUGAACACAGAACAAGAAAGCCAUCUCUAAUACUUACCCCAAAAGAAGGCAAGCCUAUUUUUACCAGUCAGAUACAAAUCUCAAAUACAGUAGAUUUGUAUAUCCACUGAAAAUGCAGACAUUGGCUUUGAUAUGUAAUAGCUGUGCAGAUGGAGAAGUCUCCUUGGUGGUUUUCACCACUUCUCUGGAAAAUGGGCCAUGGCUUUCCCUGGGUUGAGUUUGCUGGCAGGCAGCCCUCGUCCAUCUCCUUUUGCACACCAUGGCGCUGGCAGUGGGCUCGGGAGGCACGUAGAUCGGGCAGCAUGCCCACAGCAACACGUCCAGCUGCUCAGUGCACUACCUAAACUAAUCCCUGCUGCCAGAGCCCAGCAAGAAGCUGAGAAUCUGUUAUAUGGGAGCUGAGAAUCUCUGUUGUUAUAAAAAUAUUACCUGAGGAAGAGUAGUGAAUGUUGUGCAGGAGUGUGGUUCUAGGUAGCUCCCCUACUCCUGCUUUCUCACUGCCUAAAAGGGUAGCCUAAUUAAUUGACUUUAUUAAAUCUCUUUCUGGGUGCAGGGUGCUGAUACAUCGGCUAAUAAAACCCAAAGUGAAGCUUGCACUUACAGAAAAUGACAGUAUCAGGAAAAGGCAGGGUGCUUUAUGCUAUGUGUCACAGCUCAUAACAGAGCACAGCGGUUGACAUCUUUAUUAGUUUCUAAGAUGGUAUAUGAGCGUGCAUGUGCACGUGUGCGAGCGUGUGCCUAUGUCAAGGAAGAAAAAGAAGGAUUGAAAAACUUUUGUAAAAUAGAAACAAUUUUAAAAUGUUACUAUUUAUGGACAACAGUGAUAAAAAAAAGUCUUCAACAGAAUCCUACUUUUAUGCUGUUUUUCUGAGAUUCUCCUUAAAAAUACAUAUUUGAAAACAUUUGGCUUAAAGUUUUAGUGGAUUCUGGUGGUAUAAUGAGGUCAAGCCGCAAUCUGCAGAAGAGUGUAUUAUAAAAGAACUAAUGAGAACUAAUUUCAAACAUUUCCUGUAGAGCAUAACUAGCAGAAUACAACAUCUUCAAAUACAAAAAAAAAAAAAAAAAGAUCAGCAAAGACCUUAUUCAUUUAAGACCCACACUGCUUUUGAAACAAGUCAGAAAUCCAUUUCACAGGGUUAAUGACCUCUCAAUGUCCACUUUAAUCAACAAGCCAGUAGCAAUUUUUCAGGGGGAAAAAAAAAGAAAGAAAAAAAAAAGCAUUAUGUUAAUCAUAUGCUUCUGUUGUCCAUUACAGUGAAUUAAUUGUAAAAGAGAAAAUUCUGAAAAUCUAACCAGUGUGACUACUCAAAGCUGAGCAUACACAGAACUGUUCAGUGGGGCCAAAGCAAAGUGGAAAAUUCACUCCAGGGAGUACUCUUGGCUGUGUCAUCUGCUCUGCUCCUACUUGAGCCUGCUACCCUGCAAAAUUCUUCUCUGCAUACAUCUCCCAUUCUGAAUUACCAUACUAAGGACCUUGGUAUCAACCUUCACUGAUUCCCAUAAGAGCAAAUUCUUUACUUUUCAAAGGUUUUUCCUGCUCUUUUAUUAAUCUAUUUGUUUCUGCAAGUGAAAUACUGCAAGCCUAGACUAAAACUACACCUGCUUCAGUACAUACUGUGCAAGCAUCUUCUAACAGCUCUGCAGAUUUAUUUGCAUAUUGACCUAAUUACCAUUUCUUCUAUUUAACUUCUAAGUGUCCGUAAGCCAAGAUAAACUAAGCUAAAUACCAUGAAGCAGCCAUGAUAUUUCAGCCAAGACCAGCAAACUGAUUUAAACAUUGACCUCAAGUAGUCACGAGCCUCAGAUCUGGGAACAGAAAGAUUAAGGAAUUUACACUCUGUUUUUUUUAAAGGAUGGGAAUUUACUUAACAAAAAGUACUUCAAGAAUUAAAUAAAACAGUCUUGAAAACUAAAGUGUUCUGAUAAAAUAGCAUUCUUAUUCGUAUUCUGUUCCCAGAAAUGCAGUAGCUCUGAAACUGAAAGUUUUAAUAGCAACCCAAGAUAUUUUUUUUCCACUUUCUUUCUGGAACUUUUUUUAAAGGCUUUAGAUUUAAUCUGUGAAUUAUUUUUAAAGAGAAUUGUGGCAAUUGAUGCAAAUAUCAGAGAUGGUAGGGUUUUUCAGGUUCUUCUUUAUUAGAUGCUGUCUUACAGCAACAUCUAGUGGUACGCUAUCUCUGCAUCCUUCAGCUUGCACUGGAAGAGUUAAGAUGAUAAUUAACUAUGACAGGUUUACACACACAUACACAACGUGGGAGGCAUUACCCCAGCUGGUCUGGGAACUACUUACACACCUUUAUGGUGUAUUCAUUAUAUUCUGUGUAAUCUUUAGAAAAACGAAGUUAGGCGCUCAUACUGAUAAGGAGAAAUGUUGAGUACCUUACCUCGCUUUUUUGAAGCUGGAAUUGCAUUUAAGACCCUGCUUUUUAGUCUGUUUAUCAAACAUAUAUAUAUACAUCUUCCAUAGAAAUUUAAGCAUUCAGAAAAGGAAAGGAUACAUGGAUACAUUUUCCUGAUGCAGUUUCUCUAUUUGUGUGGUUAGGAACUAUUUGCACAAGACUGAACACUCUGCCUCGGGCAGUUAAUUCUUACUCUUCUCUGCAGUCUCCUUGAUUUCAAUAGGAAUCCAUUCUGUUCAAUUGAUUUCACAUAAAAUCAAUUUCAAUUAUGUGCCUGAGGAGUUGGGUUUGUACCUUAGACUAUCAUGGCAAAAUUGCUUUUAUCUCUUUGCAUUGCUUUUCUAACAUUCUCAGCACAAGAUCUACCCUGUAAGUUAGUUAUACAGGCUUGAUUUAUACUCUCUGAAGAAGAAAAGAAAAAGAAAAUUGUCAUGAAUUUAAACACAUUCAGGCACUACAUAGGUACUAAAAUUGAAAAGAAUAUUAUUAAAAGAAGGUGAUUGAAACAUCUCGAAAAUACUUAAAGAUAUCAAAAGCAAAAUUUGUAAUAAUUAAAAAGAUGAUCACUCUUAAAAUGUCAUAAAAAUACUUUUAAUGUCUUAAAAGCACCAUGUGCGUAGAAGAGUUUUUGAGACUAAGUUUUUACAGCAGGUGAAACCAGGAAAAGGAUGGGAGGUCAUUAGGUGAAAUCAUGGCUAAAACUCUGAAGUUUUACACCUCUAAUCUGAGAUGUUAAACUAUUUUAGCAGUAUCUCUCUCAAGUGCUGGAAGAAUUUUUUAUUUUUCUCUUCAUUCUGAAAUUGAGCAGGACUGAAAAAUGAGAUUUUCUCUUCUUCAUCUUAUCUACAAACAAAAACAAGCUAUGGAAGACUAAAAGUUAAUUAUUUCAAAGUCUUCAGGAAACUGUAACCAUGAGCAACACAUUCAAUUCAGUAUCUGCAAUAAAUGCUUUCUGAGUAACAAAUCAGUUCAAAAUACAAAAUGUUUUAAUUUUAAAAUGUCACUAGACUAUUUAAAAUAAUUUUAUUUCAUUAAUAAAAGGCAUUAGAAGAUGCAUUUUCUGCAAUUAAAUAGAACUCCAACUUAAUAAAAUUUCCAUUUUCAUCAAAAGCAAUUUGACAUAAAGAGUAAUAAUAGUAUCAGACAAUAAACAAGAAAUGUCAUUUGACAUUUUAAUGAUAAAAUGAGAAAUUGAGGAGUAGCUUUGUGUAAGUUUAAAGUGUAGUUUACAUUUAUUUGAAAAUCAGCAUGUCUCCACAGUUAACAACAAACAAGAAUCAAAUAUUUCUGAAAAAAAUAAUUUGAAUAUAUAGCAAUGGUGCAAGACUAAAACCAGUAAUUAUUUCAAUCAAGAUUUAUUACCUCAUACUAGAAAUUGUAGUUAAAAUUACUUGACAUAUUAAUUCUUGCCUACAGUAAUAUUGCAUACACAGUCUUUAAGUAACAGUACUGAAUCUUGCUUGCUUUUCAUGUUUCCCUAGAUCAAAUUGAGCCCAACAGCUAAAUUUUUACUAACGUGGCCAUGUGUUUGUCACAUUCUGAAUGACCCAUGACAAGCAUCAUGCCAGCCCAAUGGUAAGGAAACACUGGAUAUUGUCUAAUGAGGAAAAAAUAAUAAUAGUGUCAUACCAGAGCUACAGAAACCCUCAAAAUAAAGAGAAGGCUGCAGAGGUGCUUCUCCACCACAGGAUUCCAACUGAGCUCUGUAACCACAGGCAAUGUGAUGGAGGAAGAAAUGUUAAGUUCCUCAACUUCAUUGGCUAGCCCAGCUCUGAUGGGCACUCCUCAAGAAUAAAGACACACAUUUACUUUGUAAAUGUAUUAGAGCAUGUACAUGAACAACAUCUUUAAAUUGCAUUAUCAGUACAGCAUAUAAUUAAAACCAGUCCAAUAUAAACACUAAGCUCAGGGUCCUCCACAUAAUUCUGGCUUGCUACAAGAUCUUCAUGAAACCUGGGAUGACCCAUUUCACUCUAUGCACAUAUUUGAGCACAGUGACAAAGACAGAAAAUAUCUCUGCCAUGUGCUGAAAGAGGAUAUUCAUGCUAUCCAGCUUUAGCCAUCUAUUUUAAACAAUUAUUCUCUCUAUGACCUUGCAACUGGCAACACAGAGAGAAACAGUCAUGAGUUUUUUUGUUGUUUUCUUUUUCCCCAGAGGUAACUCAGACCAUGUAAAUCAGAGCUCUCUGGAGAGUCUGACAAUAGGAAGAGUUUGGAUAAUAGGCUGAUCAUAUCUGCUUCCAAAGACUGGAUGACGUGAACACUUCCUUAAAUCUUUUCAGAUUGAUUCAGCUGCUCAUUAUGAGCCUAUUGUAUAUGAACAAUUUAAAGUGUAAAACUUGCUUUGGUUUGAAACAUUUCCCAUUCCUCCUCUCCGGACAAAAAAAAAAAAAAAAAAAAAAA